rnacentral:lncRNA from 1 species
UUGGGGGGAUCUGAAUGUUCUGUAAUUUCCUAAUUUUUAUAAAUGACUGCCAACGUUAAAGUCUUAUUUUCCCCACAAAGUAAUUAGUAAGUAUGACAAAGCUAAACAUUAAAUAAAAUAAACUGCCCUUAGGUGUGCCUUAAAGACCUACGAAUCUUUAAACUAUUACUCUUCACUCCAACACAGGCAGUUCUACUUUUCCAUAACCAAAUUUGUGUGUCACAAAGCUGUAGUUUUUCUGUUUGACUGUGCCUUCAGUUUAUAAAUUGCGCAUGAUUAAUAUUUAAUUUCUAGAAUUGGGCUAACUGAUGACAGAGAAAAACCUAUUUCCUUUACACAGUGGAAUCCUUGGCAUACACAGGCCCCUUAAAAGAAUACUGAGGGCAAGCUGAACUUAAUAUUCAAAAAGUGCCUAAAUGAUAUUCUAAAAUAACACUGAGUGUCUACAAUCACUUAACAAAAAUUUUCUUCUAAAAUUAAAGUGAAAUAAAGGAAAUUCCUUAAAGAUAGUGAUUUUUUUUCUCUUUACUUAAACAGAUGGUCAUUCUUAAAUAUUACUUACCAAUUUCCUUCCUUAUUUCAAAGGAAACCACAGAGUAUGAAAUUUAGAAGAAAUCAUUCAGUAUACAAUUUUGAGAUUCUAAGAAUUUCACUUUUAGGGGAAAAAAAAAUUAAACUAUGAGCAAACCCUUGCAGGACUGCUGAUCUUCAAGCCAACCAGAAAAUG